UACGAGUGGUGCAAGCGUUAUUCGGAGUUAUUGGGCGUAAAGGGUGCGUAGACGGUAUAUUAAGUCAACUGUUAAAUUCUUCGGCCUAACCGGAGAUCAGCGGUAGAAACUGAUAUGAUAGAGGGUGGAAGAGAGAAGUGGAAGUCUCGGAGUAGCGGUAAAAUGCGUAGAUCUCGAGAGGAACACCGAUGGCGAAGGCAGCUUCUUGGUCCACACCUGACGUUGAGGCACGAAAGCGUGGGGAGCAAACAGG
rnacentral:rRNA from 1 species